UACGUAGGGGGCAAGCGUUGUCCGGAAUCAUUGGGCGUAAAGAGCGUGUAGGCGGCUCGAUAAGUCUGCUGUGAAAGUCCAGGGCUCAACCCUGGAAGGCCGGUGGAAACUGUCGGGCUAGAGUCCGGAAGAGGCGAGUGGAAUUCCCGGUGUAGCGGUGAAAUGCGCAGAUAUCAGGAAGAACACCUAUGGCGAAAGCAGCUCUCUGGGACGGUACUGACGCUGAGACGCGAAAGCGUGGGGAGCGAACAGG
rnacentral:rRNA from 1 species